rnacentral:rRNA from 1 species
AUUGAACGCUGGCGGCAGGCCUAACACAUGCAAGUCGAGCGGGGUUUUCGGACCUAGCGGCGGACGGGUGAGUAAUGCGUAGGAAGCUGCCCGAUAGAGGGGGAUACCAGUUGGAAACGACUGUUAAUACCGCAUAAUGUCUACGGACCAAAGUGUGGGACCUUCGGGCCACAUGCUAUCGGAUGCGCCUACGUGGGAUUAGCUAGUUGGUGAGGUAAUGGCUCACCAAGGCGACGAUCUCUAGCUGGUUUGAGAGGAUGAUCAGCCACACUGGAACUGAGAAACGGUCCAGACUCCUACGGGAGGCAGCAGUGGGGAAUAUUGGACAAUGGGCGCAAGCCCGAUUCAGCCAUGCCGCGUGUGUGAAGAAGGCCUUCGGGUUGUAAAGCACUUUCAGCGAGGAGGAAGGGUGGUGUGUUAAUAGCACAUCAUUUUGACGUUACUCGCAGAAGAAGCACCGGCUAACUCUGUGCCAGCCGCCGCCGUAACAC